rnacentral:rRNA from 1 species
CUGCUCCUAGUACGAGAGGACCGGAGUGGACGCAUCACUGGUGUUCGGGUUGUCAUGCCAAUGGCACUGCCCGGUAGCUAAAUGCGGAAGAGAUAAGUGCUGAAAGCAUCUAAGCACGAAACUUGCCCCGAGAUGAGUUCUCCCUGACCCUUUAAGGGUCCUGAAGGAACGUUGAAGACGACGACGUUGAUAGGCCGGGUGUGUAAGCGCAGCGAUGCGUUGAGCUAACCGGUACUAAUGAACCGUGAGGCUUAACCUU